AACGAACGCUGGCGGCAUGCCUAACACAUGCAAGUCGAACGAGACCUUCGGGUCUAGUAGCGCACGGGUGCGUAACGCGUGGGAACCUGCCUUUAAGUUCGGAAUAACUCAGAGAAAUUUGAGCUAAUACCGGAUGAUGUCUUCGGACCAAAGAUUUAUCGCCUUUAGAUGGGCCCGCGUUGGAUUAGCUAGUUGGUGGGGUAAAGGCCUACCAAGGCGACGAUCCAUAGCUGGUCUGAGAGGAUGAUCAGCCACACUGGGACUGAGACACGGCCCAGACUCCUACGGGAGGCAGCAGUGGGGAAUAUUGGACAAUGGGCGAAAGCCUGAUCCAGCAAUGCCGCGUGAGUGAUGAAGGCCUUAGGGUUGUAAAGCUCUUUUACCCGAGAUGAUAAUGACAGUAUCGGGAGAAUAAGCUCCGGCUAACUCCGUG
rnacentral:rRNA from 1 species